rnacentral:rRNA from 1 species
GGGGGCCCGCAAGCGGUGGAGCAUGUGGUUCAAUUCGACGCAACGCGAAGAACCUUACCUGGGCUCGAAGCGCAGUGGACCGGGGUAGAAAUAUCCCUUCCCCUUAAAAGGCUGCUGCGUAGGUGCUGCAUGGCUGUCGUCAGCUCGUGUCGUGAGAUGUUGGGUUAAGUCCCGCAACGAGCGCAACCCUUAUCCCUAGUUGCCAUCGGGUCAAGCCGGGCACUCUAGUGAAACCGCCUGGGAUAACCAGGAGGAAGGUGGGGAUGACGUCAAGUCCUCAUGGCCUUUAUGUCCAGGGCUACACACGUGCUACAAUGGCCGGUACAAACCGUCGCAAACCCGUGAGGGGGAGCUAAUCGGAAAAAGCCGGCCUCAGUUCGGAUUGGAGUCUGCAACUCGACUCCAUGAAGCUGGAAUCGCUAGUAAUCGCGGAUCAGAACGCCGCGGUGAAUACGUUCCCGGGCCUUGUACACACC